ensembl:misc_RNA
AGGACUCCCCUUUGCCCUGAAGUCUUUUGUUGGCUCAAAGAGCAGAUGUGGUGCAGGCAACAGCAGUGCCAGCUUCCCUCAGCACUCACCUGGAGGGAGCAGCUGAACAAGAGGAGGAGGUGGUUCAGCCCUACUGAUUUUUCCAUUCUUCAGCCUUU